rnacentral:rRNA from 1 species
CAGUCGCCACGGGAAUACAGAGGUCCCGAGCGUUGUUCGGAUUCACUGGGCGUAAAGGGUGUGUAGGAGGUUGGAUAAGUCAGGUGUGAAAUCCCGCAGCUCAACCGCGGAACUGCAUUCGAUACUGUUCAACUAGAGGAUCGGAGGGGGAAGCGGAAUUCUUGGUGUAGCGGUGAAAUGCGUAGAUAUCAAGAGGAACACCGGUGGCGAAGGCGGCUUCCUGGAAGAUACCUGACUCUGAAACACGAAAGCCAGGGGAGCGAAUGGGAUUAGAUACCCCCGUAGUCCCUGUCUCUUAUAC